rnacentral:rRNA from 1 species
AUUGAACGCUGGCGGCAGGCCUAACACAUGCAAGUCGAACGAGUGGCGAACGGGUGAGUAAUGUAUGGGGAUCUGCCUGAUGGCGGGGGAUAACUACUGGAAACGGUAGCUAAUACCGCAUACCAUCAGAUGAACCCAUAUGGGAUUAGCUAGUAGGUAAGGUAACGGCUUACCUGGGCGACGAUCCCUAGCUGGUCUGAGAGGAUGAUCAGCCACACUGGGACUGAGACACGGCCCAGACUCCGACGGGAGGCAGCAGUGGGGAAUAUUGCACAAUGGGCGCAAGCCUGAUGCAGCCAUGCCGCGUGUAUGAAGAAGGCCUUCGGGUUGUAAAGUACUUUCAGUCGGGAGGCGUUACCGACAGAAGAAGCACCGGCUAACUCCGUGCCAGCAGCCGCGGUAAGAC